rnacentral:misc_RNA from 1 species
UUCAGUUUUCCAGUAGGAUUUUAUACAAGAUCAACUCUAGCCGUCUCAGCAGUGCAGCGGCGGGUUCGCUACAGGCAAAUAUUUGCUAUUCGCAAAAUCAAGUGACCAUUGUGCACUUCAACGCAAUGACUUCAGUGCCAAAUUACGACAUAUAAAUCGAAUUAAAAAAAAACCGUGAUAUCGAAGAGGUGCCUCAAACGUGAAAAUUUCAGUGAAUGUGUCUCAAAAGUGGUCCCGAUUUCUGUGCUUCUAGUGUAUUAGGGUCUAUUGGUAAACAUGACGGAAUUCUUCGGAUCAUGGAACCAGGGACCGCAGGAAGAAGAUGGGGAAGAAGAGGUGGUGGAGUCUGUCGAGACCAUCACCACAACCACUACAAGGACCCGAACUAUCCCAAAAUCAUCCUCAACAAAGACUACAACUAUGACGACCCCGGCCAAAUUGUACGGGCGGGAGUUGUCUACAUACGACGAAGUGGACGUGGACGAGCUCCUGUCCAAGCUCACUCAAGAAGAACUGACCAUGCUGGCAAAGGAGGUUGAUCCUGACGACAAUUUCCUUCCACCGUCACAGCGUAACAACUACGCUUGCGAGAAGGAUCCCACCGGCCCGUUGAAUCGCAAGAAACUGAUAGAGCACAUCAACAAGCAAGCCCUGGAGACCCCCGACCGGCCCGAGGUCAAGCCUUUCGUCCCCGGCGUCGUCAGGGGCAAGAAGUGGAUCCCGCCCCCGCCUCCGGAGAAGGUGCGCGACGCCGAGGAACAGAUCACGAUCGAUCUCGGCGAUGAAUACGAACAGGCUCUCGGCACUGCAUCACAGGAGGAGAUCAUUGAUCUUGCGGCCAUCCUCGGAUUCCACUCGAUGAUGAAUCAGGACCAGUACCACGCGUCGCUUCUGAACAAGGGCCAGCCCGUCGGACUCGGAUGGGACGGCAUCACCAAAGCCACCAAACCCAAGGUAUUCCCAAUGGACCCGCCCAACGAUACGGACCCGGAUGAAACGAUCGCUCGAGUGCAACAAAAUGACCAGAAGCUGACUGAUCUCAAUUGGAAUAAUAUUAAGAACAUAAGCGACGAGAAGUUCGAGAAGCUGUUCGAAGCGCUAAAGAGCAACAGCCACGUGGAGGUGCUGUCGCUGGUGAACGUGGGGCUGACGGACCGCACGGCGGGCGCGCUGGCGGACGCGCUGCGGCACAACACGGCGCUGCGCGUGCUCAGCGUCGAGACCAACUUCAUCUCGCCGCCCGCGCUCGUGCAGCUCGUGCGCGCGCUGCUGCACACCAACACCGUCGAGGAGUUCCGGGCCUCCAACCAGAGAUCGCAAGUUCUCGGUAACAAGAUCGAGAUGGAGAUAACUCAGCUCGUCGAACAGAAUCCGACCCUGCUGCGUCUCGGGCUGCACCUCGAGUACAGCGACGCGAGGCACAGGGUCGCGUCGCAUCUCCAACGGAACAUCGAUAGGAAUUGCCGAGUGCUAAAACGGGCGAGUGCCUCCCUGAACCUCCGGUUGCCGCGGGCGCGAGUCCAGCCCGUCGCCAUCGACAACUCCCUCUUCAGCAUGACUCCGCCCAGCGCGGAAGCCGUCACCCCGACAAACGACACGAAAUCCAUAACGGAAAACGUCGAGAAGUCCUUGGUGCUCGAAGCCAAAGAACCGCCCGUGGUUGAGGAUCCGUCUCCGGUCGAUUAUACGGGAGAGAGGAUAAUUCCGGUAGCUGCGGCGAAGACGAAUGGCGUCGAGGAUGCUAAUCGACACGUUGAGAUCAGGACGGGAGAUCAAGUGGAUAGAUUCGUCCGCGCCCAGCCACCAGAUAUAAACCCCAAUCCGCAUUCUACGGAAAGACCUAACGCUGCGACUACAGUUCAGGUUCUUUAACAACCUGCAAAAGGGGGCGCGUAGCCAAUAGACAACAGAGUACGCCAGCAGCGCCGGAGCCAGAAUAGCGCUUAGACACUUAAACUACAAUUAGGCUGUCGCGUGCGUCGCAUUACGCAGUUCACCCGCAGCCGCAGCUACGUCGUGGGCUGGAUCCCGUGAGCGAGCGCCCGUCCCGCAAGCAAGCACGCACCGAACCGCGCACCGUUACCAACUAUAUAUCACGCACCGAUGCUAUUCCAUCAGCAUUCUGUUCUCGUGAGUCUUUGCAUCCCAACCCGAGUAGUCCGGUUCGUAGUAAGCGUUCAGAUGCUAAUUUAAUGUGUGAAAUUUCUCAUCCCCGUUGGGACCUCGGUCCGCGUUCAGAUCGUAGUCCUUAUCCGCAUUCGGCUCGGUUCGCUGUUGGCCCAUCGCUCUGCCGUUUCGGCUUGUGUGAUUGUGUUCCAUACAUUGGAACGAGUCGAUACAUAUUUCGUUAUAACACACAUCAUUAUUCGUCUCCGCAUAAUAAUUAUACAAAGAUGGCGUUAGAUAUUUAAAUGUUUAAUUUUGUAUCAAGCAAUCGAAUGCAUUGAUUUUAAAAUGCACUUUAUAUUUAUUGUUUAAAAAAAAAUGUUAAUUAUAAGCAUAAUCGUUGCCUUAAUCGCUUCGUAUGUGUAGCUGCUUAGGUAUAGUCAAAUUAGAUGUAGUUUUAGUUAUGUGCUUGAAAAUUUCUAUACAAUUAUAAAAUUGUAUCGACUCUACUAAGACACAAUGACAGAAGUCGAAAAGCAGAUUAUAUUUUUAUGUCUGUGUUCUGAAUGUUAGUCGCUGACAAGAAUUGUGGUUCUGUGGUGGAAAUUUUUAGAGAAAAUGUUGACAAAGAUUACUAGAGAGGCAGGACCGUCGCUAGUUACAAUUGGAUUCAUUUCACUAAUCGAACAAUUAUCCGGAUUAGAGAAAGUCAUCAUUUUCUUUCAAUAAAACGUGCCGUGAUUUAUUUUAAGAAUAAAACUAUAUAGUAUUUUAUGAAAAUGCCAAUGGCUGUAAUCAAAUUUAAUUAAAUCAUUUUGAAUAAUUUGUUUCUAUUAUUUUUUUCUUUUAGGACAAUUUACUGUAUGUUCUAAUAUAAACGGAGAAAAUUGACAAAGUCUAGUUUUUUAAUUAAAUGAAUUUAUUCGAGAAACCCUUUGCCAUAGAAAAUAAUAACUUUUCUGUGCUAAUGUCAUCAUUGACAGAUGUAAUGGCGGAAAUAAAUAUUAUUUUCAUUACAUAAUGAUGAACGCCCCAUUUCCGGAACGAAACUACAAUUCUUGCGAAAUGAUGUGAACGAUGUACGUUUUUGAAAAUAUUAAUGUUAUUGUAAUACUUCUACUAGAGUGCUAAUGAAUUAAAAAAAAAGAUAUUAAAAUUGUAAUAUAAUAUUAAAGUAGUUUCACAUUCCAUUAAUGCAAAACACAUUUCUCUUAAAAUAUUUAGAUCGAAUAUUAUUAUUUUUGACUAAUGUUUCGACUGAACGUCUUGCCACCUUAAGAAAUGUUAAUGGAAUUUCUAUUUAUUUACUAAUCGAAUUGGACUAUGAGAGGUGAUCUUUUGCAUCAAUGGAGUUAAUUUUUAACUAAAUUUUUAAUAAAGCACUAGACCUUACGAUUCGCUGUUUCGUAAAAACCUUUUUUAUAUGUGUAGUGAACGAAUAAUGCUAAAAAUAUACGUCUUAUGUCUUAGUGCGCGAGCUCUAUGUUUCGUCUCGCUCACUCUUGUGUUUUACGAUGCGAGUGAGCGAGACAGGUGCGGAGUCAUCUGCGGAUUAGCUUUACUAUAAAUAUUUCACCUUUUGCUUUCUUGAAACAAAAAAAAGCUUACAUAUUUUUUUUAAUUUAAUCUUUAUGUAUAUUUGAUUUGUGUCUGAAGAAAGAUGUGUCCAUAACAUUGUGAUAAAUGCAUCAUGAGUCUUAUAUUAAUUUCCAUUUUUAAAACAGUAAAUACAGGAUUUUGAAUUUCGUUCUUACUGUCCAUAAGAGGAGAAGAUUGUAAAUGAAUUUAGUAUUUUUUUUAAAUGUAAAAUUCUUUGUGACUAUUAAAAAACAUAAUGUAUUUUUAUUUUUAACUAUAGAUUUAUUUAUGAGAUUAUGGGUUCAGGAGCAUUUUGAUCCAUCGAUAACUUCGACUUUAGGUUCGGAUGUCCUGUAGUUUGUGACAACUGUAAAAAAAAAACUUAAAUAAAGUACAUAAACAAUUU